rnacentral:misc_RNA from 1 species
CGAAGCGCGUGCGCCACGCAUCCACCGGCGACAAUGACUUCUGACCGCAUCUUCGUCUACCUGCAGCUUCCUGGGUCGCUGGAGGUGGUGACCGCCGCCUAUUACCGGCUUGAGCCUGGCGACGGCGUACCGAAGGGCACCUUCGGCUACGGUCGCAGCUACCUGGCACGCGCCGACGCGGUCCCGCUCGAGCCCUUUGAGCUGCCCCUGGACGCCCGGAAAUUCACGACGGUGAAGCUCAAGGGCAUCUUUGGUGCGCUGCGCGACGCGCUCCCCGAUGCUUGGGGUCGGCGCGUCAUCGAGCGCGAGCUCGGUCAGGCGGGCCUCGACGAAGCUGACUUGCUGCUGCACUCGCCGGAUGACCGGUCGGGUGCGCUGUCGUUCGGUUUGGGGAAAAAGCCGCCGGGGCCUUUCCGCGGCUACAACAAACUGAUCCAACUCGGUGCCCUGCUCGCACUCGCUGAGCGCGUGAUGAACGACGAGCCGGCUGCCGCGGAGGAUCCGGAUCUUGCGCAGGUGGAACGCCUACUGCGGCCAGGCACAUCGGUCGGCGGCGCGCGGCCGAAGAACGUCGUCGAGGAUGGGGAUGGGCUCUGGAUUG